rnacentral:rRNA from 1 species
UACAGAGGGGGCAAGCGUUAUUCGGAAUUAUUGGGCGUAAAGGGCGCGUAGGCGGCUUUGCAAGUGACGGGUGAAAUCCCUCGGCUUAACCGAGGAACUGCCUGUCAGACUGUGAGGCUUGAGACCGGGAGAGGUGAGUGGAAUUCCCAGUGUAGCGGUGAAAUGCGUAGAUAUCGGGAGGAACACCAGUGGCGAAGGCGACUACCUGGCCUGUUCUUGACGCUGAGGCGCGAAAGCUAGGGGAGCAAACGGG